rnacentral:tRNA from 2 species
GCCGAUGUAGCUCAGAAGGCAGAGCACUUCCAUGGUAAGGAAGGGGUCGCCGGUUCGACUCCGGCCAUCGGCUCCA